GUCACGACCGCACACAGACGCCGCAACGACUACUGCUGCAUCUCAUCUCGCCUCAUCUGGAGUGACGCAAAACAACACUCUUCAUAAGAAAUGUGGUUGUUCCCUCGUGAGCAGUUGACUUACCUCUUCUGGCACAGAAGGUGAGCCUCCGUCGUAGUUUCAAUAUUUUUGUCUACGGCUCCAAUACCGAGAAACAUCUGGUCAGCGUAAAUGACCUUGCAGCCUGGGCUUACCUGGCUUCUUUUCUGGUUCUGCAAGCGUCGUCGGUGCAAGCAUCGCCAUGUUCCACACGUGCAUGGCCAUUCCAGUCCGGCAACUGCAGUUACCGACUGCCUGACUUUCAGCCGCAAACGAAAUCAAGGCCAGAUGCAAGCACUAUCGUCCCAUCGUUCUGCGCAUGGUCUCCUUGCACGACGACGUCACAGCCAGGAGCGGACAUAAAUGCAAUAAAUGGACGGCGGUGCUGCGGUCUCUGCAGUGGGCACGGAGGCACGGCCAGGAGCAGUAUGCUUCAAUUUCCACGCUUCUGCCUUUUACAGUUCGCCUUCAACUUUGGCCUGCUAUCCCCAUCUAAGGUUAC